rnacentral:rRNA from 1 species
CCUACGGGCGGCAGCAGUGAGGAAUAUUGGUCAAUGGGCGCAAGCCUGAACCAGCCAAGUCGCGUGAGGGAUGACGGUCCUAUGGAUUGUAAACCUCUUUUGUCGGGGAGCAAGGCCCGCCACGUGUGGCGGGAAGGAGAGUACCCGAAGAAAAAGCAUCGGCUAACUCCGUGCCAGCAGCCGCGGUAAUACGGAGGGUGCGAGCGUUAAUCGGAAUUACUGGGCGUAAGGCGCUCGUAGGCGGUAUGUCAAGUCAAGGGUGAAAUCCCCGCGCUCAACGUGGGAACUGCCUUUGAAACUGGCAAACUGGAGUGUGUGAGAGGAUAGUGGAAUUCCAGGUGUAGGAGUGAAAUCCGUAGAUAUCUGGAGGAACAUCAGUGGCGAAGGCGACUAUCUGGCACAUAACUGACGCUGAGGAGCGAAAGCGUGGGUAGCAAACAGGAUUAGAUACCCCUGUAGUC